GAUGAACGCUGGCGGCGUGCCUAAUACAUGCAAGUCGAGCGAACAGACGAGGAGCUUGCUCCUCUGACGUUAGCGGCGGAGGGGUGAGUAACAAGUGGAUAACCCACCUAUAAGACUGUGAUACCUUGGGAACACCGCAGAUAAUACCGGAUACAACAUUUAACCGUCGGGUCAAAUGGUGAAACAAUGUCUUCUUGUCAUUUACAUACGGCUGGACGCCGCAUUGGCUGGUUGGUAAGGUACCGGCGUACCAAGGCAACGAUGCAUAGCUCACCUGAGAGGGUGAGCGGCCACACUGGAACAGAGACACGGACCAAACGCCUAGGGGAGGAAGCGAGAGAGAAUCAUGCGCUAUGGGCGAAAGCCUGACGGAGCGACGCCGCAUGGGUGAUGAAGGUCUGCGGAGCGUAAAACUCUGUUAUUAGGGAAGAACAAAUGUGUAAGUAACUAUGCACGUCUUGACGGUACCUAAUCAGAAAGCCACGGCUAACUACGUG
rnacentral:rRNA from 1 species